UUGCUAUGAUGAAAGUAUACCUGUGUUCCAGAGGCAGUUCUGUUUUGAGCCGUCUUUGAUGGUAACACAACCCUCUAAGAAGUUCUGAGCUA
rfam:Jatropha curcas cultivar GZQX0401 scaffold465_40, whole genome shotgun sequence.